AUUGAACGCUGGCGGCAGGCUUAACACAUGCAAGUCGAACGAGUGGCGGACGGGUGAGUAAUGCUUGGGAAUCUGGCUUAUGGAGGGGGAUAACGACGGGAAACUGUCGCUAAUACCGCGUACCAUAGGAUGAGCCCAAGUGGGAUUAGGUAGGUGGUGGGGUAAUGGCCUACCAAGCCGACGAUCGCUAGCUGGUCUGAGAGGAUGACCAGCCAAACCGGGACUGUGACACGGCCCGGACUCCUACGGGAGGCAGCAGUGGGGAAUAUUGCGCAAUGGGGGCAACGCCGACGCAGCCAAGCCGCGUGAGUGAUGACGGCCUUCGGGUUGUAAAGCUCUGUUAAUCGGGAGACGGUACCGGAAUAGAAAGCCACGGCUAACUACGUGCCAGCAGCCGCGGUAAUUC
rnacentral:rRNA from 1 species